CGGGGCCAAAGAAGGCUUUCUGGAACUGUUUUCCACUUUUCCUCCAAGCAGCUGGAGGUCCUGGGGUGGAGGCUUCAUGGGGCUCAAGCCUGUGAGACCAGGUCCUGACCCAGGAGUGAGGCCCAGGAAGAUCUCCAAAAAAGCUGAAAAGUGGACAGAAACCCACGACGAAUGGCAGCCAGCUGUGGUGUGAGGGACUUAGGUCAGCAGAAGGCCGUGGGUCUCUGGGGACAGUGACACCAUCUCACUCCUUGAGUCCUGCUCGGGUGGGAUUGGAGAAGGAGGUGGACGCUGGUCAUACCAGUGACACUCGCUUACUUCUGGAAAGUGAUAAGAAAUCACAGAAGAGCGACAGUCUCUCACUGCCAAACGCCCUGCAGCCUGCAGAGAGCAUCCCGACCCCAGGUAAGGGACCCCACCAGAGAUGCGCCUCCCGCCUGAGCGGCUUCUCUCUCAUCCUAUGGCCCUGCCCUGAACAAGGCCCCAUCCUGCCUCACCUGGACAACCCCGCCCACAAACUCUCACCUGGACAACCCCGCCCACAAACUCUCACCUGGACAACCCCGCCCACAAACUCUUACCCCAAAAGAGUGGCUACUGGGAAGUAGUUACUGGGAAGGCAGGACAAGAAAAGUGUGACACAAAGUGUUCUCUGCCCCUGGGCACACCCCCCUUCAGUGUGCUCUGUGAGUGUCGCCACACUUCUGCUGGGUCCCCCACAGGACACAGGAACGCCGACUUAGCCCCAAAGCGGUUCCUUCGUGGCGCCACAAGGUAACUCCUCAGGAGGCCAGGACCCCGCAGGCUCAUGGCAGAUGAGCGGAAAGACAGCUGGCGCCAGGGGACGAGCUGGGAGCUACCUGACGUGAUGGAGAAGAACAAAGGGUGCACUAAAGGAAGAGGAACAACAUGAGAAUGUAUUAGAGGAAGAAGGUUAAAACCAUCAGGGCGGAUGAAGCAGGCAGACAGUGUUUACAGAAGGAAAGCUAAUCGUAAUGCCUCUCGGCUCGACAGUAAGUGAUAUUGACAUAACCAUGAAAAUGUAAAUACUAUUUAUGGACUUAACUCAAAACAUUAAUAAAAUUACAGUGGGAAUAUGGAGUGGGGAGACGAAGCUAAAACGUUACCCCGGCAGAAAACAAGAUUCGUCUCAAAGUAACAAAUCAAGAAAUAAAAAUGGAAGCAUGUGAUUUAGUGACAGGAAAGCAAUGGCCAGAAGAAGCAAUCUGAAAGUUAAAGAAGUUGGGGUCACAAAAAGAGGACAAGGUUAAGAGGGAGACUCGGUCAGUUCCGGCCAAGCUUUUGGGUCCUGUUUUAUUUCACACUCUGAUGAUGUUAUGUGCAUACAAUUAUUUGAAUUAAAAUGUAAUAAAAUAAUUAAAUUAUAAAAGAUGAAAUAAAACCAGAAAUCAGCAUGUCGGGACCAGCUCUUUACAAAAAAUAUGACACAAAAGUUUCACAGCUAUAUUACAGGAUUCACAUCUCUGAAAGUCCUUAUGUGCAAAAUCACUGUGGAACACACAGCGUGGCUGCAUGCAGAAAGCAGCUCCCACAAACGCCACACACGAGAAGCUCCGAAGCAUCGCUAGUGACUGAAGGAAACCAGAAGGCGCCCCCUUCCAUUCCAUGACUGAAGGCAGGAACUCGGGGCCGGGAACUGAGCUGGAACGUAAAGCAGGUGACAGGAGAGUGUGUCUUAUUCCCACCCCGGGAAGCGAGCUGACAAGCUGUAGAGAGGAGUAUUAAAAAAAUCGUGACUUUUUACCCAUCAAACCCAUAGGGAACUGACUUAAGGGAUAGACAGUAAAGCCGUAAGUAGGCAAAAAAGAAAACAAGCCAAAGUGUCUGGCAAUAAACAGUUCAGCAAAUCAAGCAUAUCCGUUUUAUGGCUCAUUAUCAGUGACAACUGGUGACACGUAAGUUUGUAGAGAUACAAAACACUUUGUCUAAAGAAAAUCAGAACUUCAAAUAGUGUAUGGUUAGUACGUCUGGUACAUGACGACGACAACAACAAAGAAAAAUGAUGUCCUCAAUAUUUUAAUAAUAAAGCGAACGUCUUUGUAAUGGACUUGUAGAAGAUCAAAGCGGACAGUUGACACCAUCUAGUUAAGAACCCGCUCUUCAGAAGAGGAAAAGCGUUGCUCACACCACAAAUUAAUGGGCGAUCAGAGUUGUGGCUCAGUGCCUGCCCAGCUCGCCAAGCGCAGCCAGGACCACCGCCUCCGGACUCGCCCCAGGCCGGGCUUCCGCCUCUGCAGCUUUACGUCCCUGCUCACUAAAGCGUCACCCACUGGCCCUGAGCUGUGGUGCAGGCCGCAGAUGCGGCUCAGAGCCUGCAUUGCUGUGGCUGUGGCGUAGGCCAGAGGCUGCAGCUCCAAAUCAACCCCUAGCUUGGGAACCUCCAUGUGCCACAGGUGCGGCCCUAAAAAGACCAAAAAAAAGAGCCUCAUCCACUGUAACCACUGUCACAAAAUGUCCCCUCCUGCAGCGAAGACUGGAUUUUUAACUGUCCCCUCCAGGUUAGGAGGGGCAUGGCUGGCAGAUGGAGCCUCUUCUGACCACAGGGCCCUCUGCUGCCCUGCUCCCUCUUUGCAGCGCAGUCGUGUCCCAAGGACAGCGUGGGUAGGUGGGUGGGGGAGGACAAGGGUCCCUGCCACCAGCCAGCGGUCCCUGUUUCUGCCUCGGUCUCCCCAGGGCUCCAUGCCUGCAUCGCCCCAUGUCUCCCUUGCAGUAGGAGUAAACCCGCCACCUUCCUAGCAUCUCGUAGUCAGUUAUCCGUAUCUGUUGGGUUAAAUUCCACAUCUACCCGAGAACAGAGGAACAAAAAAUUUCAAGCGGAUUUUCCACCCAAACUGGUCCUCUCUCGGUGAGCCCCAUCUGCAGUCUGGCUGUCGGCUGGCCCUGAGUGGUGAUGGUUACAUGCAAGUGGCCACAUAGGGACCUUAACAGAAGGUGGCCCCAAGUGGCAGGCUGUCCCAGCAGGGCUGCAGAAAAGGCAGGGCCAUGCCCCUCCGGAACAGGCCAGUGGGGCUUCUGGGAGGAGGUGGCCACGUUGUGGGGGGAGGGGCACAUUGCAUUUGGAAAAUGUCGUGUUGUUUUAAAGGCGGGAAAAGCUAAAGGAGGAAACCACUCUUGUCCACGUUUGGAAGUUUCAUUGGAAGUAGCCUCUCCUAAGCCGCCUCGCUGCCCCACUUUGCCCUUGGGGAGCAGCGAGGCGGGGAGGCUUGGAGAAGGGUCUGGUGGAGCAGAAGGGAAGCUCGGGGUAGGCCCUGCUCAAGCAAAAGCACCAGCCUCCAGCAUGUUUACCUAACGCCACCAGGGGCGUGAGGAGAGGCCAAAGAGUCCUGAGCUGUGCUGCGACAGCGUGCCCCAAACGGAGUUUCCUGACAGGAGACAGGGGCAGCGAUGGCCCGUGGCUGCAGCCCCCGCUAGUGCCCGGCUUCAGUCUGGGCCCCCACCCAGCACCGAGGGCUGCCGGCCCGGGACACUGGCGGCUGGGGGCCCCUGGGCUGCCCGAAGACCCCGAGGCCUCCGCCUGCGACCGGAGUGGCGAGCAGACGCACAUUUCGUCCUCCGGCAGAGCUCUCGGGGGUCGGCUCCAGGGCCAGAGUAAAGCUGGGGCCGGGGCGGGGUUCGUCAGACAUGCUCUAAGAUGAACCAGAUGCGUCUUUAAACACUCGGCCCCAACAGUGAUAGAAAUAUUUGGGAUGACCUUUGAAAUUUAUCAAGCACUCGCUGCGUGCCAGGAACUGAGUCAGCACGUUCCACAGGCGACUCCGCCGGGCCCUCAGUGACCCCGCCACGCUCCGGACGUGAAGCCAUGUCCCCCGGCUGCUCAGACCACGGAAAGAUGAGAUCUGCGCCCACGGCCUCUCCCCAGCCCACCCUCCAAGCCGCAGCAGAGCUGGAGGAGGGGGCAGUGUUGGUCACAGUGACAGUGACACGGGCCAAAGUGGGGUGCCCACCAAGGUGGCCUUGGGGACUGCCGCCUCUCAGGACUCUCGGGUCAGCACAGGAGAGAGGAGAUGAGAUGAGGCGCGGGGUCGGACCCUCAGGGCGUCACUCCUUAAACGCCCUCGUGAGGUUGAAGUGAGGACGCACCCCAGCCUAGAGCAGCCACCACCAGAGAAGAGCCUGCGGGCGGGCACCCCGGCGCCCGGGCACACACCUCGGGGGAAGCGCCUGUCCGAGUGACUGGCGAUCAGACUGGACGCCACCCCCGCGCCAGCCACAUGCUGAGGCUCCAGCAGGCAGCGGUACCUCCAGCCACGGUGCCGAGAACCACACGCCCACACAUUUUUCCCAGAAUGGAUUUUUCUACAGAGCUUCUAUCACGCGGGACAUGACUCUCGACCCUGCCGUUCCUGGAAGCUAGUUUUUAUGACUGCAGCUCCCGAACCCGUCAUCCCGACGCCCGGCCUUGGCAGUGGACUGGGGCUCCACGCGGAGAAGCCUGGGCUGAGAGAGCAGAGGAAACCAGUCUCUAUGAUUUGGAGCCACAAUUGCAGAGGAAAGUCACGGAAACGCAGCAGGAUGAUCUAACUGGUUUGCCAAGGACAUGCUGCUCUUCUAAAAUUCUCUUGUAGUUCUUCUACAACCAAAGCAAUCAUGGGCCAAAAAAUCAGCAGCCGUCCACACGGAAACUGCUCAGUGACCAGGGCAAGCCUAGACAAGUCUCAGGCCACACCUGACUAAAUGCCACCUGGUGACGUGUUGCACUGGCCUCAUCCUGGAGGGAACAACUCCUGUGGUUACUGGGACAUCCAGUC